UUAGAGUUUGAUCCUGGCUCAGGAUGAACGCUAGCUACAGGCUUAACACAUGCAAGUCGAGGGGCAGCGGGAGGGUAGCUUGCUACUCUUGCCGGCGACCGGCGGAUGGGUGAGUAACGCGUAUCCAACCUGCCCCGCGCCCGGGGAUAGCCCUUAGAAAUGAGGAUUAAGACCCGAUACCUGCCAGGGCCGCAUGGCUCUGCCAGAAAACGAGGCACGGGAUGGGGAUGCGUUGGAUUAGCUUGCCGGCGGGGUGACGGCCCACCGGGGCGACGAUCCAUAGGGGUUCUGAGAGGAAGGUCCCCCACACUGGUACUGAGACACGGACCAGACUCCUACGGGAGGCAGCAGUGAGGAAUAUUGGUCAAUGGGCGAGAGCCUGAACCAGCCAAGUAGCGUGCAGGAUGACGGCCCUAUGGGUUGUAAACUGCUUUUAACCGGGAAUAACGUUACCUUCGUGAAGGUAAGUGCAUGUACCGGUUGAAUAAGGAUCGGCUAACUCCGUGCCAGCAGCCGCGGUAAUACGGAGGAUUCGAGCGUUAUCCGGAUUUAUUGGGUUUAAAGGGAGCGUAGGCGGGAAGUCAAGUCAGCUGUGAAAUGUAGACGCUCAACGUCUGCACUGCAGUUGAAACUGGUUUUCUUGAGUGCGUAAGAGGCAGGCGGAAUUCGUCGUGUAGCGGUGAAAUGCUUAGAUAUGCAGGAAGAACUCCUAUUGCGAAGGCAGCUUGCUGGGCCGCAACUGACGCUGAAGCUCGAAGGUGCGGGUAUCGAACAGGAUUAGAUACCCUGGUAGUCCGCACAGUAAACGAUGGAUACUCGCUGUCGGCGAUACACAGUCGGUGGCCAAGCGAAAGCGUUAAGUAUCCCACCUGGGGAGUACGCCGGCAACGGUGAAACUCAAAGGAAUUGACGGGGGCCCGCACAAGCGGAGGAACAUGUGGUUUAAUUCGAUGAUACGCGAGGAACCUUACCCGGGCUUGAAUUGCUGGUGGCGGUAGCUGGAGACAGCUUCCUUCCUUCGGGACGCCAGUGAAGGUGCUGCAUGGUUGUCGUCAGCUCGUGCCGUAAGGUGUCGGCUUAAGUGCCAUAACGAGCGCAACCCUUGCCGUUAGUUGCCAUCAGGUCAAGCUGGGCACUCUAGCGGGACUGCCAUCGUAAGAUGUGAGGAAGGUGGGGAUGACGUCAAAUCAGCACGGCCCUUAUGUCCGGGGCGACACACGUGUUACAAUGGGGGGUACAGAGGGAAGCCACCUGGCGACAGGGCGCGGAUCCCGAAAUCCCUUCUCAGUUCGGAUCGGAGUCUGGAACUCGACUCCGUGAAGCUGGAUUCGCUAGUAAUCGCGCAUCAGCCAUGGCGCGGUGAAUACGUUCCCGGGCCUUGCACUCACCGCCGGUCAAG
rnacentral:rRNA from 1 species